rnacentral:rRNA from 1 species
UGCAAGUCGGACGGCAGCGCGGGUUUCGGCCUGGCGGCGAGUGGCGAACGGGUGAGUAAGACAUCGGAACGUGUCCUGGAGUGGGGGAUAGCCCGGCGAAAGCCGGAUUAAUACCGCAUACGCUCUGAGGAGGAAAGCGGGGGACCUUAGGGCCUCGCGCUCAAGGGGCGGCCGAUGGCAGAUUAGCUAGUUGGUAGGGUAAAGGCCUACCAAGGCGACGAUCUGUAGCUGGUCUGAGAGGACGACCAGCCACACUGGGACUGAGACACGGCCCAGACUCCUACGGGAGGCAGCAGUGGGGAAUUUUGGACAAUGGGGGCAACCCUGAUCCAGCAAUGCCGCGUGUGUGAAGAAGGCCUUCGGGUUGUAAAGCACUUUUGUCCGGAAAGAAAACGGCCUGGUUAAUACCUGGGCUGGAUGACGGUACCGGAAGAAUAAGCACCGGCUAACUACGUGCCAGCAGCCGCGGUAAUACGUAGGGUGCGAGCGUUAAUCGGAAUUACUGGGCGUAAAGCGUGCGCAGGCGGUUUGCUAAGACCGAUGUGAAAUCCCCGGGCUUAACCUGGGAACUGCAUUGGUGACUGGCAGGCUAGAGUAUGGCAGAGGGAGGUAGAAUUCCACGUGUAGCAGUGAAAUGCGUAGAGAUGUGGAGGAAUACCGAUGGCGAAGGCAGCCUCCUGGGCCAAUACUGACGCUCAUGCACGAAAGCGUGGGGAGCAAACAGGAUUAGAUACCCUGGUAGUCCACGCCCUAAACGAUGUCAACUAGUUGUUGGGGGAUUCAUUUCCUUAGUAACGUAGCUAACGCGUGAAGUUGACCGCCUGGGGGAGUACGGUCGCAAGAUUAAAACUCAAAGGAAUUGACGGGGACCGCACAGCGGUGGAUGAUGUGGAUUAAUUCGAUGCAACGCGAAAAACCUUACCUACCCUUGACAUGGUCGGAACCCUGCUGAGAGGUGGGGGUGCUCGAAAGAGAACCGGCGCACAGGUGCUGCAUGGCUGUCGUCAGCUCGUGUCGUGAGAUGUUGGGUUAAGUCCCGCAACGAGCGCAACCCUUGUCCUUAGUUGCUACGCAAGAGCACUCUAGGGAGACUGCCGGUGACAAACCGGAGGAAGGUGGGGAUGACGUCAAGUCCUCAUGGCCCUUAUGGGUAGGGCUUCACACGUCAUACAAUGGUCGGAACAGAGGGUUGCCAACCCGCGAGGGGGAGCUAAUCCCAAAAAACCGAUCGUAGUCCGGAUUGCAGUCUGCAACUCGACUGCAUGAAGCUGGAAUCGCUAGUAAUCGCGGAUCAGCAUGUCGCGGUGAAUACGUUCCCGGGUCUUGUACACACCGCCCGUCACACCAUGGGAGUGGGUUUCACCAGAAGUGGCUAGUCUAACCGCAAGGAG